CAAGCUUCAUUGGAUUGAUAAUUAGGAGAUAACAUUUUCUAAGAAUAUAUAACAGGACUGGACUAAAACAUUGACGAUUAUGCAAGUGUGUUUUAACACAAAGAGUAUUGACACUUAUUACAAAGCCCUCUGGAGUACACUUCUUUGGAGUGAUAUAUUCAAGACGGGAGAGUGAGUUCCAGACCUACGGUGAAUAUAUAUAAAAGCUGUGUGCGCUACACAACUUAUAUAUAAAUUAGCUGUGUAGC